rnacentral:rRNA from 1 species
UACGUAGGGUGCGAGCGUUGUCCGGAAUUACUGGGCGUAAAGAGCUCGUAGGUGGUUUGUCGCGUUGUUCGUGAAAACUCACAACUCAAUUGUGGGCGUGCGGGCGAUACGGGCAGACGUUGAGUACUGCAGGGGAGACUGGAAUUCCUGGUGUAGCGGUGGAAUGCGCAGAUAUCAGGAGGAACACCGGUGGCGAAGGCGG